rnacentral:rRNA from 1 species
ACGAACGCUGGCGGCAGGCCUAACACAUGCAAGUCGCGCGCCCCGCAAGGGGAGCGGCGGACGGGUGAGUAACGCGUGGGAAUAUGCCCUUUGCUACGGAAUAGUCUCGGGAAACUGGGGGUAAUACCGUAUACGCCCUUUGGGGGAAAGAUUUAUCGGCGAAGGAUUAGCCCGCGUUGGAUUAGGUAGUUGGUGGGGUAAUGGCCUACCAAGCCGACGAUCCAUAGCUGGUUUGAGAGGAUGAUCAGCCACACUGGGACUGAGACACGGCCCAGACUCCUACGGGAGGCAGCAGUGGGGAAUCUUAGACAAUGGGGGCAACCCUGAUCUAGCCAUGCCGCGUGAGUGAUGAAGGCCUUAGGGUUGUAAAGCUCUUUCAGCUGGGAAGAUAAUGACGGUACCAGCAGAAGAAGCCCCGGCUAACUCCGUG